AUUGAACGCUGGCGGCAGGCCUAACACAUUCAAGUCGAGCGAGCGGCGGACUGGUGCGUAAUGUAUGGGGACUGCCCGGUAGAGGGGGAUUACUACUGUAAACGGUGGCUAAUACCGCAUCCUAUCGGAUAACCCAUAUGGGAUUAGCUAGCAGGUGGGGUAACGGCUCACCUAGGCCACGAUCUCUAGCUGGUCUUAGAUGAUUAUGAGCCAAAGUGUGACGGCGAAAAGGCCAAGAUACAGAGGGAGCCAGCAGGGGGGAAGAUUGUCAAAUGGGCGUAAGCCUGAUGCAGCCAUGCCGUGUGUAUGAAGAAGGCCUUAGGGUUGUAAAGUACUCUCAGCAGGGAAGCGUUAUCCGAAGAAGAAGAACCGGCUAACCCCGUGCCAGCAGUCGCGGUAAUAC
rnacentral:rRNA from 1 species